AGCGAACGCUGGCGGCAUGCCUAAUACAUGCAAGUAGAACGGGUCGGCUUCGGCCGGUCAGUGGCGGACGGGUGAGGAACGCGUAGGGAUCUGUAGUCUGGCGGGGGAUAACCGCGGGAAACUGCGGCUAAGACCGAAUGGGGCGCCGGUGUGAGAGCCGGUGUCAAAGGAGCGCAUUGAGAGGUGUGUUUCCACGAGGUGCGGGUCUGCCUUCGAUUUACUGGCUGGCUGGGUAGGUGCCCACCCAGGCGGCGGACGGUACCUGGGCUGGGUGGGGGGUCAACCACACUGGGACUGGGACACGGCCCGGACUCCUACGAGAGGCAGCAGUGGGGAAUAUUGGACGAUGCGCGCGAGCCUGAUCCAUCAAUGCCGCGUAGGUGAAGAAGAUCUUCAGAUUGUAAAUCCCUUUCGGCAGGGACGAUGGUGACGGUACCCGCAGAAGAAGCCCCGGCUAACUUCGUG
rnacentral:rRNA from 1 species